rnacentral:rRNA from 1 species
ACGAACGCUGGCGGCGUGCUUCACCCCUGCAAGUCGAACGGAAAGGCCCUGCUUUUGUGGGGUGCUCGAGUGGCGAACGGGUGAGUAACACGUGAGUAACCUGCCCUUGACUUUGGGAUAACUUCAGGAAACUGGGGCUAAUACCGGAUAGGAGCUCCUGCUGCAUGGUGGGGGUUGGAAAGUUUCGGCGGUUGGGGAUGGACUCGCGGCUUAUCAGCUUGUUGGUGGGGUAGUGGCUUACCAAGGCUUUGACGGGUAGCCGGCCUGAGAGGGUGACCGGCCACAUUGGGACUGAGAUACGGCCCAGACUCCUACGGGAGGCAGCAGUGGGGAAUAUUGCACAAUGGGCGGAAGCCUGAUGCAGCAACGCCGCGUGCGGGAUGACGGCCUUCGGGUUGUAAACCGCUUUCGCCUGUGACGAAGCGUGAGUGACGGUAAUGGGUAAAGAAGCACCGGCUAACUACGU